rnacentral:rRNA from 1 species
AGAUACAGCAGCCGCUUGCGGUCUGUAUACAGGUGCUGCAUGGCUGUCGUCAGCUCGUGCUGUGAAGUGUUGGGCUAAGUCCCGCAACGAGCGCAACCCUAUCAUCUGUUGCCAGCAUUUAAGGUGGGGACUCAGAUGAGACUGCCGGUGACAAACCGGAGGAAGGUGGGGACGACGUCAAGUCAUCAUGGCCCUUAUGUCCUGGGCUACACACGUGCUACAAUGGCCGGUACAGAGUGAAGCGAAACCGCGAGGUGAAGCAAAACGCAGAAAGCCGGUCUCAGUACGGAUUGGAGUCUGAAACUCGACUUCAUGAAGUUGGAAUCGCUAGUAAUCGCGCAUCAGCAUGGCGCGGUGAAUACGUUCCCGGGCCUU